UGGUUCCUUUUUUUUAAUAAACAAAACGUGCAGGAACUAUUAAUUGUUAACCCAGAAUGUGUUUUUUUUUCCUUUGGAAUAAAUAUGAUAGACACCUGUCCAUUUACCCCAGCAGCUGUUCAAAGCGACAUUUAGGGACGGAGUCGCCUUUGAUUAGCAGUAAAUGGAUCACCGAUCAACAUAUUUGGAACACGAGGUACCGCUGUGGGGAGAAGCAGUGUGACUGUCUGUGCAACUGAAGCAUUUUGUCAGAUCACAGAUAUGCUGUCACGGGAAAAAACGCCUUCCCUGAUGGCGGUGGCUCAUUACAGCAGAAUAAGACGCCCUGCCACCAGAGCAACAAUGAUGUGGAGCAAAAGUUUAAGUCUUUAAGGAUCUGCUGCUAGCGUGUUGGUGCUAGCCACUACAUCCCUCCUGACAGACCCUGAAGGAGUCCAUGCCUUGAUGGGUCAAGACUGUUUUGGCAGCAAAAGAGGCACCAGCACACUAUUAGACAUGAUGGUACGCACUUUUGUAGAUGUAGAAACGUAAGCAUCAUUAGUUCUUUACAUGGAAAACGUCCAACAUGUGUAUAUUAAAAGACAGGCUGCGAUUUAAAUCUGUGAAGCUCAGACUCCGAGGUCAUGCAAAGUCAGGACGCGGCCUCACUGUUUGCUCACAUUAGGGCGGGUUCGCCUGCCGUCUUAUGAGCUCAUCUGGCUCAACUGAGAGGGGAAAACAUACAUAUGUAUCUAUGUGUGUGUGUGUGUGUGUGUGUGUACCCAAGGGAGUCUGGACAUUUUCUGAGAGAGCGGCGGGCUCGGGAGGCCGAACCGUUCGCCUUUUAUGUACGUCGAGCAGCAGCCGCAAAUUGAAGCUGAGUGUCGACCGCGCUUAAUUGUCAUCGCCAAUUAGUGCAUUGUGGGACGGCCACAAUGGAUCAACUGUAGCGAGCAGAGCGAAGUCCUUUGUGCUUCUCCAGUGGCCUGCGAGCCAGUCAAGACUCAUUUGAGGGGCCCGGUCGACGGCGGAGCAGAAAUGCCACCCUAAAUGAAAACAAAAGACAGUUUAAGGAGGAAAAAGGGGGAUGAAGGGAGGAAAACGAAGGCUUUGGGGGGCUGGGGGUUGGAUGUGGACAGCGGUUACAGAGGAGGAAAGAACGGGGCCAACACACACACACACACAUUUUACCCCCUCACGACAUUUUAGUGAGCUUCUGCACAAAAGCUGGCAGGGCCCCAGUGUCCCCAGUGACCUGGUUAUUCUGGAGCUUCAUCGGCCACAUUGAAGCUUUCAGCAGGUUGCGGCAGAGCGGACUGGUUUCAACCUUUGCUACAAUUAAAAAAAAAGAAAAAAAAAAAAGUACAAAUCCACUAUUUUGACCGCUUUUACUUUGAAAAACCCAAUAUUUGCUAUGAAGGGCCGUCACCAAAGACUCGACGUUUGUUUUGUUUGCUUCACUCAAACAAGUUCCAGGUCUCUGCAUGUCGCCGACGUGAGUGAGGGAGGGCGAGACAAAACCCACUCGGCACGUCGGAGCCCAGCUCUGAUGUUCAGACCGAUGGUAGAGAAACAGCCUGAAGGUGUGUUCAGGUCACACACGGUGUGAACCGAAAUCCACAACGUGGGGCUUAUAUCUGUAUUCAGCUGAGUCUUUUGAGGCUUUGUCUGAAAUAAAGUCCGUGACUUUGUUGACUACAGCUGCUACAAGCUUUGGGGUU